rnacentral:rRNA from 1 species
UAGAGUUUGAUCCCUGGCUCAGGACGAACGCUGGCGGCGCGCCUAACACAUGCAAGUCGAAGCGAGAAACCUCGGGCUUCGGCCUGGGGGGAAAGCGGCGAACGGGUGCGUAACACGUGAGCAACCUACCCCGGAGACCGGGAUAACACCGGGAAACUGGUGCUAAUACCGGAUGUCCUCAUCGGACCGCAUGAUCCGAUGAGGAAAUGGUCAGCCGCUCCGGGAUGGGCUCGCGGCCUAUCAGCUUGUUGGUGGGGUAAUGGCCUACCAAGGCAACGACGGGUAGCUGGUCUGAGAGGACGAUCAGCCACACUGGGACUGAGACACGGCCCAGACUCCUACGGGAGGCAGCAGUGGGGAAUCUUGCGCAAUGGGGGAAACCCUGACGCAGCGACGCCGCGUGCGGGAUGAAGGCCUUCGGGUCGUAAACCGCUUUCAGCAGGGACGAAAUUGACGGUACCUGCAGAAGAAGCCCCGGCCAACUACGUGCCAGCCGCCGCGGUAAUUCA